rnacentral:rRNA from 1 species
AUACGGAGGGUGCAAGCGUUAUUCGGAAUCACUGGGCGUAAAGGACGCGUAGGCGGGUUGGCAAGUCAGAUGUGAAAUCCUACAGCUUAACUGUAGAACUGCAUUUGAAACUGCUAACCUAGAGUAUGGGAGGGGGAGAUGGAAUUAGUGGUGUAGGGGUAAAAUCCGUAGAUAUCACUAGGAAUACCUAAAGCGAAGGCGAUCUCCUGGAACAUUACUGACGCUAAGGCGUGAAAGCGUGGGGAGCAAACGGGAUUAGAAACCCUAGUAGUCC